UCUGCCCUGCACUCUGGGACAAGCCCUGGAAACGGGGUCUAAUACCGGAUACUGAUCCUCGCAGGCAUCUGCGAGGUUCGAAAGCUGCGGCGGUGCAGGGUGAGCCGGCGGCCUAUCAGCGAGUUGGUGAGGUAGCGGCUCACCAAGGCGACGGCGGGUAGCCGGCCUGAGAGGGGUGCGGCCACUCUGGGACGGAGAUGUGCGCACGCUGCUAGGGGAGGGAGCAGUGGGGAAUUUCCACGUGUGCGAAGCGUGCUGCCGCGACGCCGAUGUGUUAUG
rnacentral:rRNA from 1 species